UUUCCCGGUUCUUGGUAGUCAGUGUUCUUGAUAGUGAAAAGUGAUCGUGUGGUUGAGGUUCCGUGGGAAGAAACGGAACAGGUGAUUACUGUAUACGGUUUUAUGCCCAGCAGGAGAACUACAGAGGGAGGUGGCACACGAGAUUCAACCAGGAGACUGGAUCUGGAUCCAAUCACUAAAAAUAAAAAAAAACUGGAAGCAGCCUCGGUGGGAGGGACCAUUCCAAGUACUA